rnacentral:rRNA from 1 species
GAUGAACGCUGGCGGCGUGCCUAAUACAUGCAAGUAGAACGCUGAAGCUUGGUGCUUGCCCCGAGCGGAUGAGUUGCGAACGGGUGAGUAACGCGUAGGUAACCUGCCUCUUAGCGGGGGAUAACUAUUGGAAACGAUAGCUAAUACCGCAUAAAAGUCGACAUCGCAUGAUGUUGACUUGAAAGGUGCAAUUGCAUCACUAAGAGAUGGACCUGCGUUGUAUUAGCUAGUUGGUGAGGUAACGGCUCACCAAGGCGACGAUACAUAGCCGACCUGAGAGGGGGAUCGGCCACACUGGGACUGAGACACGGCCCAGACUCCUACGGGAGGCAGCAGGAGGGAAUCUUCGGCAAUGGGGGGAACCCUGACCGAGCAACGCCGCGGGAGUGAAGAAGGGUGUCGGAUCGUAAAGAUCUGUUGUAAGAGAAGAAAGAGUGGGAGAGUGGAAAGUUCACACUGUGACGGUAACUGACCAGAAAGGGACGGCUAACUACGUG